UAGAGCAUCACAACAUAACUGCUCACUGCUGUCCUGGGAUCAAAUGUGUGAGGGCGGGUUGCUUCACCAGGGCUAGAUACAGCCGCGACAUUGGUCUACACCAAUAUGUUUGCCACAAAUUGUCCUAGGGAUUUGCUUGCUGGAGAACAAUGGAUUUGCAUAACUGCUGAAACUUAAUCAUUCGGGCAAGACUGCAGUGACAGUUCACCUAUCUGAAGAUACCACUGUUAGCCCUUUAGCUUGUGCAGUAACUUUUGGUAGUGCAAAUGAUUAGUUCUCUUUGUGGUUCCUGAACCAACCCUUGAGGAUUUGGUACCUUUUGCUUCAUAUGAUGUGUAUCUUUAUAUUGUACGUGUUAACAUGUUACGGAUCAGGAUGGGAUGGAUAAGUAGUACAUCUGCUGUUUCCAGUUUUGAAAACUGAAUGAAGUGAGAGUAAAUGUAUUGUGUUGCACUUAUUUGCCUCUGAAAAUAUUACACGCCAGCAAUCUAAUGA